rnacentral:lncRNA from 1 species
CCCGCGCCCUUCCUUAUCGCCCGAUCAAACGCUGCUGCCACAUGCAAUCCCACCCACCUGACGUCAUCGCACAUACCCCGGCGCACGAUGUCGAUUCUCAGCCUCGCCUUGCCUCCAAGAGAGUAAGCCCCCUACGAAUUCGACGCCCUCACCUACUAUUUCUUCCUCAAGGCCCGCGCUCACGCAUUAGCCCCAAUCGAGUCCUUUCACAUGCACGCACAGGUGCUGAAAUUAGGGUUCGAUGCAAAUAUUCUCCAGGAGACCACACUGCUCGACACCUACGCGAAACUUAGGGAUUUGGAUAGCGCACUCAAGGUGUUUGAUAAAAUGUAUAAGAAGGAUAUCACGUGCUGGAACGCGGGAAAUCAGUCGCAUGAAGUCCUGAAGCUGUUUGUCUGGGGUGCUGAGCCUCGAUUCGAUUCCCAUCAGGAGUCGUCGAAAACGAUGAAUUGAUGCUCCUCUGCCAAAAUCUGGCAACGACGUCACAGAACAAAUUAACACCUUCACUCAGCAGAUCUCCUACACAUCAAUGAUCCAACACCAAAAUAUGGACGAGCCAAGGAACUAUGAUUAUGGGAUGAAGGGAAAGAUGGAUGAAUUCGAGUUCGAGCUAUCGAAGAUAGUAGGACUACACGAGCUGAAGCUGCAGCUUAAAAAAUGGGCCAAGGGCAUGCUCGUGGACAAAAAGCAUCGUGUCGUGGGUGUAGACCUCAACCUCUAAUGGAUAAGUGGUUAAUGUUUUGAUUCAUUCAAUGAAGGUGUUUUGCGUUUUAUUUUAGAAACAAUAUACUCGUAUAGCCAUUUUGAAGAAGGAAACACAAUAUUUGUCCACUAAUUAAAAAAACACAAAAUUUUUACGUUUUAUGGCUGUUUUGCCCUUAAUUAGGACGGACUAGAUUCGGUUCGGAUUCGGGUUUGCGCGUGGGUUAGGCACAUAUGACACUAUUAGUGCCAUUAGUGUCAUAUACUCAGUGUUGCACGAAUGGUAGUUAUGGCUAUAUUAGUGCCAUUAGUGUCAUACGAAUGAUAUUUAUGACCAUAUUAGUGGCAUUAGUGUCAUAUGCAUGUGUGCUGAUAUUAUUUAGAUGGGUACAGUUAUAUGACUAUUUUGAACGCUUCCCUGUAGGGUUUAGAUUAUCAUUUAGAGUUUAGAUUCCCCAUUUAGNGUGCUGCACGAAUGGUACUUAUGACCAUAUUAGUGUCAUUAGUUCCAUAUACUCUCUUAUGUAGUGUAGCAUGAAUGGUACUUAUGACCAUAUUAGUGUCAUUAGUGCCAUAUAAUUAGAUUUUUUUUUCAGUUGGCACAUAUACCACUAAUAGUGUCAUAUGUGCCUAACCCGCGCGCAAACCUGAAUUUGACCCGAAUUCGAUCCGCCAUAAUUAAGGGAAAAACAGUCUUUACACGUAAUAAAUGGCCAGAUUUUGUGUUUUUUCAAUUAGUGGUCAAAUAUUGUGUUUCCUUCUUCAAAAUGGCUAUUUCAAAAGUGCUCUCUUUAUUUUAUGUAUUUGAUAUUUUGAUAUAAGAUUUGGACGAAUCAGUGCAAUUCAUGUGAUGCAGCUGAAAUUUC